AGUCAAGUAAUUAAGUGCAUGUGGUGGAUGCCUUGGCAGUCAGAGGCGAUGAAAGACGUGAUAGCCUGCGAAAAGCUCCGGGGAGGCGGCAAAUAUCCUUUGAUCCGGAGAUGUCUGAAUGGGGGAACCCACCUACUUUAAGGUAGGUAUUGCAACAUGAAUACAUAGUGUUGCAAGGCGAACGAGGGGAAGUGAAACAUCUCAGUACCCUUAGGAAAAGAAAUCAAUUGAGAUUCCCUCAGUAGCGGCGAGCGAACGGGGAUCAGCCCAUUAAGUUAUGUGUGUUUUAGUGGAACGCUCUGGGAAGUGCGAACGUAGAGGGUGAUAUUCCCGUACACGAAAGGGCACACAUAAUGAUGACGAGUAGGGCGAGGCACGUGAAACCUUGUCUGAAUAUGGGGGGACCAUCCUCCAAGGCUAAAUACUCCUGACUGACCGAUAGUGAACCAGUACCGUGAGGGAAAGGCGAAAAGAACCCCUGUGAGGGGAGUGAAAUAGAUCCUGAAACCGCAUGCAUACAAGCAGUGGGAGCACCUUCGUGGUGUGACUGCGUACCUUUUGUAUAAUGGGUCAGCGACUUAUAUUCAGUAGCGAGGUUAACCGUAUAGGGGAGCCGUAGAGAAAUCGAGUCUUAAUAGGGCGUUUAGUUGCUGGGUAUAGACCCGAAACCAGGCGAUCUAUCCAUGAGCAGGUUGAAGGUUGGGUAACACUAACUGGAGGACCGAACCCACUGUCGUUGAAAAGCCAGGGGAUGACUUGUGGAUAGGGGUGAAAGGCUAAUCAAGCCUGGUGAUAGCUGGUUCUCCCCGAAAGCUAUUUAGGUAGCGCCUCGGACGAAUACCAUAGGGGGUAGAGCACUGUUUCGGCUAGGGGGUCAUCCCGACUUACCAAACCGAUGCAAACUCCGAAUACCUAUGAGUACUAUCCGGGAGACAGACUGCGGGUGCUAACGUCCGUAGUCAAGAGGAAAACAAUCCAGACCGCCAGCUAAGGCCCCAAAAUCAUAGUUAAGUGGGAAACGAUGUGGGAAGGCAUAGACAGCUAGGAGGUUGGCUUAGAAGCAGCCACCCUUUAAAGAAAGCGUAAUAGCUCACUAGUCGAGUCGGCCUGCGCGGAAGAUGUAACGGGGCUAAAACUAUGUGCCGAAGCUGCGGAUGUAUACUUUGUAUACGUGGUAGGGGAGCGUUCUGUAAGCCGAUGAAGGUGUGUUGAGAAGCAUGCUGGAGGUAUCAGAAGUGCGAAUGCUGACGUGAGUAACGACAAAACGGGUGAAAAACCCGUUCGCCGAAAGACCAAGGGUUCCAGUCCAACGUUAAUCGGGGCUGGGUGAGUCGACCCCUAAGGCGAGGCCGAAAGGCGUAGUCGAUGGGAAAAUGGUUAAUAUUCCAUUACUUCUGUGUAAUGCGAUGAGAGGACGGAGAAGGCUAAAUCAGCCUGGCGUUGGUUGUCCAGGUGAAAGGAUGUAGGCAUGUAUCUUAGGCAAAUCCGGGGUACUCUAUGCUGAGAUCUGAUAGCAAGCUGUACUUGUACAGCGAAGUGGUUGAUGCCAUGCUUCCAGGAAAAGUCUCUAAGCUUCAGUUACACAGGAAUCGUACCCGAAACCGACACAGGUGGUCAGGUCGAGUAGACCAAGGCGCUUGAGAGAACUCUGCUGAAGGAACUAGGCAAAAUGGUACCGUAACUUCGGGAGAAGGUACGCUGUUGUUGGUGAUGGAACUUGCUUCCUGAGCUGACGACAGCCGCAGAAACCAGGCCGCUGCAACUGUUUAUUAAAAACAUAGCACUCUGCAAACACGAAAGUGGACGUAUAGGGUGUGAUGCCUGCCCGGUGCUGGAAGGUUAAUUGAUGGGGUUAGCGUAAGCGAAGCUCUUGAUCGAAGCCCCAGUAAACGGCGGCCGUAACUAUAACGGUCCUAAGGUAGCGAAAUUCCUUGUCGGGUAAGUUCCGACCUGCACGAAUGGCAUAAUGAUGGCGGCGCUGUCUCCAGCAGAGGCUCAGUGAAAUCGAAAUCGCUGUGAAGAUGCAGUGUACCCGCGGCUAGACGGAAAGACCCCGUGAACCUUUACUGCAGCUUGACACUGAACUUUGACCUUACUUGUGUAGGAUAGGUGGGAGGCUUUGAAGCUGGAACGCUAGUUCCAGUGGAGCCGUCCUUGAAAUACCACCCUGGUAAUGUUGAGGUUCUAACUCUGUCCCGUGAUCCGGGACGAGGACCGUGUCUGGUGGGUAGUUUGACUGGGGCGGUCUCCUCCUAAAGAGUAACGGAGGAGUACGAAGGUGCGCUCAGCGUGGUCGGAAAUCACGCGUAGAGUAUAAAGGCAAAAGCGCGCUUAACUGCGAGACCCACAAGUCGAGCAGGUACGAAAGUAGGUCUUAGUGAUCCGGUGGUUCUGUAUGGAAGGGCCAUCGCUCAACGGAUAAAAGGUACUCUGGGGAUAACAGGCUGAUACCGCCCAAGAGUUCAUAUCGACGGCGGUGUUUGGCACCUCGAUGUCGGCUCAUCUCAUCCUGGGGCUGAAGCAGGUCCCAAGGGUAUGGCUGUUCGCCAUUUAAAGAGGUACGCGAGCUGGGUUUAGAACGUCGUGAGACAGUUCGGUCCCUAUCUACCGUGGGCGCUGGAAAUUUGAGAGGAUCUGCUCCUAGUACGAGAGGACCAGAGUGGACGAACCUCUGGUGUACCGGUUGUGACGCCAGUCGCAUCGCCGGGUAGCUAUGUUCGGAAGGGAUAACCGCUGAA
rnacentral:rRNA from 1 species